rnacentral:rRNA from 1 species
CAUGCAAGUCGAACGGAAUAAUGACUUCGGUUAUUAUUUAGUGGCGGAAGGGUUAGUAAUACAUAGAUAAUCUGUCCUCAACUUGGGAAUAACGGUUGGAAACGACCGCUAAUACCGAAUGUGGUAUGUUUAGGCAUCUAAAACAUAUUAAAGAAGGGGAUCUUCGGACCUUUCGGUUGAGGGAGAGUCUAUGGGAUAUCAGCUUGUUGGUGGGGUAAUGGCCUACCAAGGCUUUGACGUCUAGGCGGAUUGAGAGAUUGACCGCCAACACUGGGACUGAGACACUGCCCAGACUUCUACGGAAGGCUGCAGUCGAGAAUCUUUCGCAAUGGACGAAAGUCUGACGAAGCGACGCCGCGUGUGUGAUGAAGGCUCUAGGGUUGUAAAGCACUUUCGCUUGGGAAUAAGAGAGAUUGGCUAAUAUCCAAUCGAUUUGAGCGUACCAGGUAAAGAAGCACCGGCUAACUCCGUGCCAGCAGCUGCGGUAAUACGGAGGGUGCUAGCGUUAAUCGGAUUUAUUGGGCGUAAAGGGCGUGUAGGCGGAAAGGAAAGUUAGAUGUUAAAUCUUGGGGCUCAACCCCAAGCCAGCAUCUAAUACUAUCUUUCUAGAGGGUAGAUGGAGAAAAGGGAAUUCCACGUGUAGCGGUGAAAUGCGUAGAUAUGUGGAAGAACACCAGUGGCGAAGGCGCUUUUCUAAUUUACACCUGACGCUAAGGCGCGAAAGCAAGGGGAGCAAACAGGAUUAGAUAC